AUCUGUAUGUCAUACCAGUGUCUCCACACUCUUUGGUUAAGAGGACAACCAACCCAUAUGGCCUACAGCGACCUAUGCUCGAUAGAAGCUGUCAUCCUUAUUAACAGCCUAUCAUUUGGUCGUGAACAGUUUUAAGGACUAAUCGAUAAAUCCUCUCUUUAUCGAACUUAAAUAGUCCUAAGGACUUCAUCAUAACAAUGGAGUUCAUUAGAAGAUGAAAGCUUAUGAUGAAGAUGCCAAAUAUAUAUUUUAUUUAUUAACAAAUCAAUUACAA
rnacentral:lncRNA from 1 species